CCUACGGGAGGCAGCAGUAGGGAAUAUUGCUCAAUGGGGGAAACCCUGAAGCAGCAACGCCGCGUGGAGGAUGAAGGUUUUCGGAUUGUAAACUCCUUUUGUUAGAGAAGAUAAUGACGGUAUCUAACGAAUAAGCACCGUCUAACUCCGUGCCAGCAGCCGCGGUAAUACGGAGGGUGCAAGCGUUACUCGGAAUCACUGGGCGUAAAGAGGGCGUAGGCGGGAUAGCAAGUCAGAUGUGAAAUCCUAUGGCUUAACCAUAGAACUGCAUUUGAAACUGUUAUUCUAGAGUAUGGGAGAGGUAGGUGGAAUUCUUGGUGUAGGGGUAAAAUCCGUAGAGAUCAAGAGGAAUACUCAUUGCGAAGGCGACCUGCUAGAACAUAACUGACGCUGAUGCGCGAAAGCGUGGGGAGCAAACAGGAUUAGAUACCCCUGUAGUC
rnacentral:rRNA from 1 species